GUGUAGAAUCCAUCAUUGUGUAUAAUGUUGCAGAAAUGAGGGGAGCCAGGCUUGCUAAAGUCAUUGUGGUGAUAGAAAUGUGUUAGCCUCAGAAGCUACUGAGGUGGUCCUUUCUAUCCUACUAUAGUG
rfam:Erinaceus europaeus unplaced genomic scaffold scaffold00610, whole genome shotgun sequence